ensembl:snRNA U6 U6 spliceosomal RNA
GUGCUCAUUUCAGCAGUAUAUAUACUAAACUUGGACUGAUACAGAGAAGAUUAUCAUGGCCCAUGAACAAGGAUGAUACAGAAAUGUGUGAAGUUAUUUGGUUGUCA